AUAUUUCUCGCCUUCUCACCACUCUGCCUCAUCUAUGUUGCCACCGUUGAGCUCCUACACACGGCAACCGGCACAGUCCACCCCGUCGUCUCCAGCCUCGUGUAUGACGCCAUCGACGAGCUUCUACACAUGACGUCCGACGCGGUCCAUCCCGUCGUCUCUUGUCUAGUGUACGACGCUGCCGUUGAGCCCUCAUGCACAGCCGCUCGUCGUCAUCCCCGACUUCGUCUGGGAUGCCUCCGCGGUUGAGGCGCCGACACGACGCGAUGCAGGCACGAAUUUCUCCUUCCUUGGGCGUUGGUCGCCUGUGAGGUCUCCGUGGCCAAAGCACGCAGCAACGACGCCCUAC
rnacentral:lncRNA from 1 species